rnacentral:rRNA from 1 species
AAAUUGAAGAGUUUGAUCAUGGCUCAGAUUGAACGCUGGCGGCAGGCCUAACACAUGCAAGUCGAACGGUAACAGGAAGAAGCUUGCUUCUUUGCUGACGAGUGGCGGACGGGUGAGUAAUGUCUGGGAAACUGCCUGAUGGAGGGGGAUAACUACUGGAAACGGUAGCUAAUACCGCAUAACGUCGCAAGACCAAAGAGGGGGACCUUCGGGCCUCUUGCCAUCGGAUGUGCCCAGAUGGGAUUAGCUAGUAGGUGGGGUAACGGCUCACCUAGGCGACGAUCCCUAGCUGGUCUGAGAGGAUGACCAGCCACACUGGAACUGAGACACGGUCCAGACUCCUACGGGAGGCAGCAGUGGGGAAUAUUGCACAAUGGGCGCAAGCCUGAUGCAGCCAUGCCGCGUGUAUGAAGAAGGCCUUCGGGUUGUAAAGUACUUUCAGCGGGGAGGAAGGGAGUAAAGUUAAUACCUUUGCUCAUUGACGUUACCCGCAGAAGAAGCACCGGCUAACUCCGUGCCAGCAGCCGCGGUAAUACGGAGGGUGCAAGCGUUAAUCGGAAUUACUGGGCGUAAAGCGCACGCAGGCGGUUUGUUAAGUCAGAUGUGAAAUCCCCGGGCUCAACCUGGGAACUGCAUCUGAUACUGGCAAGCUUGAGUCUCGUAGAGGGGGGUAGAAUUCCAGGUGUAGCGGUGAAAUGCGUAGAGAUCUGGAGGAAUACCGGUGGCGAAGGCGGCCCCCUGGACGAAGACUGACGCUCAGGUGCGAAAGCGUGGGGAGCAAACAGGAUUAGAUACCCUGGUAGUCCACGCCGUAAACGAUGUCGACUUGGAGGUUGUGCCCUUGAGGCGUGGCUUCCGGAGCUAACGCGUUAAGUCGACCGCCUGGGGAGUACGGCCGCAAGGUUAAAACUCAAAUGAAUUGACGGGGGCCCGCACAAGCGGUGGAGCAUGUGGUUUAAUUCGAUGCAACGCGAAGAACCUUACCUGGUCUUGACAUCCACGGAAGUUUUCAGAGAUGGAAUGGUGCCUUCGGGAACCGUGAGACAGGUGCUGCAUGGCUGUCGUCAGCUCGUGUUGUGAAAUGUUGGGUUAAGUCCCGCAACGAGCGCAACCCUUAUCCUUUGUUGCCAGCGGUCCGGCCGGGAACUCAAAGGAGACUGCCAGUGAUAAACUGGAGGAAGGUGGGGAUGACGUCAAGUCAUCAUGGCCCUUACGACCAGGGCUACACACGUGCUACAAUGGCGCAUACAAAGAGAAGCGAACUCGCGAGAGCAAGCGGACCUCAUAAAGUGCGUCGUAGUCCGGAUUGGAGUCUGCAACUCGACUCCAUGAAGUCGGAAUCGCUAGUAAUCGUGGAUCAGAAUGCCACGGUGAAUACGUUCCCGGGCCUUGUACACACCGCCCGUCACACCAUGGGAGUGGGUUGCAAAAGAAGUAGGUAGCUUAACCUUCGGGAGGGCGCUUACCACUUUGUGAUUCAUGACUGGGGUGAAGUCGUAACAAGGUAACCGUAGGGGAACCUGCGGUUGGAUCACCUCCUUACCUUAAAGAA